UGCCAGCCUCCGCUGUACUACGGAUUGUGCAAUCGUUGUUCGGAAUUAUUGGGCGUAAAGCGUGCGUAGGCGGACCGUUAAGUCUGAUGUGAAAUCCCACGGCUCAACCGUGGACGUGCAUUGGAUACUGGCGGUCUUGAGUCCCGGAGAGGAGAGCGGAAUUCCUAGUGUAGAGGUGAAAUUCGUAGAUAUUAGGAGGAACGCCAGUGGCGAAAGCGGCUCUCUGGACGGUGACUGACGCUGAGGCACGAAAGCAUAGGUAGCAAACAGGAUUAGAUA
rnacentral:rRNA from 1 species